UCUUACUUACUGGGUGGGUAGAUAUUGUAAAAAAAAUUUGAGCGAAAUCGAAAGGCAUGACUUUCAAAAUCGCCUUUUUUUGGUUGAGUUGACAUGGAAUGACCCGCGUUCAAAGAGAAAAUGUUUGCAAUUUCUGGGGAAAAACCAAUUUUUGGUUUACAAAUAGGUACUUUGAUGGUUUUGGGAAAACUGAGGCCUUUUUCGGCUAUUUCUAACAGUGAAAUUUUAUAGAGAUCGUUGUUAAUUCCCAAACAGUACAAGGUAACGGAAAUUAGCCGCGAUAAGAAAUGGAUGUCCGUUAUUCUUUGAUAAAUAAACUAUCACAAUUACAAUAAUUCGGCAUCAUAGUAACAGUAUAUAACUGAGACAGAUUUACACGAGUUCAACCCUUCUCCCUAAAACAUUAUUUUCCCACCACUGUAAUUGUGUAAUGCGUGUUAUAUUCGUGAUUUUUUUCUUCAAAAAUUGUACACAAAGGAAAAAAUGUUUAAAGAAGUGUUCUAAGUAUAAUGACUGUAUAUAAUUAUUUGAAAAAGUUAUUCGUUUAUGAAAAUUGAACGCGAUAAAAUACGUAAAUAUUCCUAAAGUACAUACAAUUUAUUUUCAAAUACUCAAUUCUUUUUUUUUUUGGGUGUCGUUAGUUUGAAAAAUCAAGAUGUCAUCUGAAGAACCAUUUUGUGGAGCAACAUUACAGAAUGUUGGAGCUUAUUAUUUUUCAAACCUGCUAGGUUAUAUAGACAUACCAAUAUGCAUAAUCGGUGUGAUCUUCAACAUGUUCAACAUGCUGGUGUUCACAAGGAGGAAUAUGACAUCACCUGUAAACCUAAUCUUCACGCAUUUGGCGUUUGCGAAUUUAUCAGAGCUGUUAGCGUUUAUAACCUUCACAUGGGCAUACUUGGCAUAUCUCAGUGAGCAAAGCGAUUUCGAAUAUCAUACUUAUACACGAGCAGUACUCUUAACGCGAAGCAGAGAAUUGAACAGCAUUUUCAACCGAAUAUCAGUGUAUACUGUAAUGAUGCUAGCAAUAUGGAAGUAUAUAGCUGUAUUUUAUCCAUCGAAGGAAUCUCAGUGGUGCAAUAUGAAAACUACACGCAAUAUGGUGGUAACUGGUUACAUCGUAUGCAUCUUGCUUUAUAUACCGGAGUAUUUGUCACAUUAUAUUAAAACACUCAUCAUGCAUCCGACGACAACAAUUUACUUGUAUAGUAUUGAAACUGAUUCCAUCAUGUACUCUGCGUCACUAUUCAUCAAAAUAGUGUUGCAUGAAUUAUUACCAUCACUUGUGCUACUAAUAUUAGGUGUUAGAUUGAUCGCUUCACUGUGGAUGAAAAAACAACAUCCAACUCCUACUUCAAACGUUGAAAACCGCACAGACAAUGUCGAAAUAAAGCAACGAACCAAUCGAUCGAUAAUUAUGUCGUUGGUGAUUGUGGCUCAAUGUUUAAGUGUCGAGAUUCCAACAGGAUUACUCGACCUAGUACAUAGAGUGCUUAUACGCGAUUAUUAUUCAAUUCAUUACGAAUGUAUUACUAGCUUCAAACUAAUACUCUAUCUUUUAGAUUGCGUUAAUAAAUCUAUUAAGUUUAUAGUAUAUUUCGCCAUGGAUCAAGAUUUUAGAGACGCAUUCAAAUCUUUGUUCAACAAAAACAAUGUUUUUUUUUGGAAACUGAAGUAUGUUCCUUUGAACAGUACGAGAGGGAAUGAUGAAAGCUUGGAAAUAGAUCGAAUUUAACACAGGUAGAAAAUUUAGAGAAAUGCGUUAUUUAGGAUGAAAAAUGAGGGUGAUAACCCAGGGGAAAAUUAUUGGAUCAUUGAAUUUCAUGGGUCUAAUUUGACCUGACCACAUCGGAUUAGAUCUGUUCAUCCCUAGUCAGAUCAAAUAAGAGACUCGAUUGAAUCUGCGUAGAUCUGAUUUUGAUUACACCGGAUCAGAUCUGAUCAGAUCCUGAUACAAUACUCAGAUCCAAUUAGAUCUGACAAGAUUGGAUUAUACCUGUGCAGAUCUGACUAGGUCCAAUGAUUCUUCUCCUGGGAAGAUUUUUUUAAAAAUGUCAAUAGUAUUUUUCAUUCAAAAGAUUAUGUUUUAGUGCCGAAAAAUAGCUUCCUAGAUUAAGCAAGGUUAAUGUUUCAUGUACAUAUUUGUAUUCGUCAAAAACUUACGUAUUUAUCAUUCAAAAAAUUCUCGAAGUGAAAAAAAUAUACAAAUAAAUUGAU